rnacentral:tRNA from 1 species
AAGGGUAUAGCUCAGGGGUAGAGUGUGUGCCUAGCAUGCACAAGGUCCUGGGUUCAAUCCCCAGUUCCUCCA